UACAGGGGGGGCAAGCGUUGUUCGGAAUUACUGGGCGUAAAGGGUCUGUAGGUGGCUUGCUAAGUCAGACGUGAAAUCCCUCAGCUUAACUGGGGAACUGCGUCUGAUACUGGUGAGCUUGAGUGCAGGAGAGGAACGCGGAAUUCCAGGUGUAGCGGUGAAAUGCGUAGAUAUCUGGAGGAACACCGGUGGCGAAGGCGACAUCCUGGACCGGUAUUGACGCUGAGGCGCGAAAGCCAGGGGAGCAAACGGG
rnacentral:rRNA from 1 species